rnacentral:lncRNA from 1 species
UGCCGCCCUGCUUUCUUCUGUUCCAGCGCUCCCCGCCACCCUCUGUUAUCGCUGCUGGGUCUACUCCUCGCUCUUCCCCAGUGCUGCACUUUUCGGGAGUUUCACCCCGUCGUUCUCAAGGGUUCAGGCGAGGUGCGGACGCCGGAGGGAAUGGCGGCGGCCGGAGCGAGGAGAUUCUCUUUUGCUUCGUGGAGCGGUGGAGGCCGAGGACGAAGGUGGCGGCGAUUUAUGCAUGGGAGAGCGGCGGGCGGACCUGGCGGCUCAACUUCCAUAGAUUCCACCGCCUGGAGGCGCGCAGGAGAGGUCGGCGCGGGGGCUUCUGGACUCCCUUGGCGUGCUAGGUCUGCGUUGCCUUUCAAAUGGAUUAAUGGACGCUCUCGCUAGAUAUUGCUAGCAGUAGCCCUGUCAUGGUGUUUUGUGCAUGUGCUUGGGUGCUAUAACUAUGAGUAAUAGAUUAGGGCUUGAUUAUAUACAAGAUCUAAUUGCUAGCUAGCUAAAAAUUAGCUUAGUGCAUCACUAAUUUGUUAGCCAAGUUUUCAACUAGUUAUUAGCCAACUAACUAACCUACCAUAGCUAAUUUAGACUACUUUUUAGCACAACUAGUAACUAGCUAAUUGUGUAUCCAAACAGACAUUGUCACUAAUUUUUAGCACAAUUCUUUUUACCUGUGGAGCAUCCUACUUGAAGGAAGAGUGUGAGACGGUUGCCUGAAAAGAGAUUUGGGUUAUCCAAUUAUGUAAAUUGCAAACAUGGUUCUUUUACUGUAGAAGUUUAUGGCUCAGUAUGGAGUGGCUCCUUAGCCAUUAUUGCUUCCUCCUUGGAUUGUCUACUGGACUCCUUAUCUGACUUUAUAUUGUAGUUUACUGCCUUAUAUAUGCAAAAUUGCAAACACCAAAUCCUUACAUACAUAUACGUACCCAAUUUGUAAAAGGCGAAUGCAACCUCUGUGAGUUCCACACCAAGUAUGACAUGCUUCUUAUCUACUUCCAUUUCCUGCAUUCGAUUUUAUUUGAAUAAAAUGAUUGAACGUUCCGUUGUCCUUUGCUAUCUUCAGCAGUCCUUCCAUAUUGUCGCCAGAAAGGAAGUGUUUCUGAGAUAUUAAUUCAGCAAAUCUUACUAGAACAAAAUGUAAAAGAAAAUAAAGUACUUCCAGUUGAACAAUAAAUGGAUAGAAGUUAUGGCCUUCUAAUCCCAUUUCAGAUGUACCAUUUGUUCUUGGGAGACUGGACAUUGGUCACAAUUAUGUUUUUUAUGAUGUUAUUUAUGGGAGCUGGUAUUUGAGUAGGUCUUAUUACUUGCAAGUUUUGACAACUUUACCACAAUCUGUAAUGCAGGUUCUAGUAGUUUUUUUUACUUUUCUUUGCAUUUUUUGGCCUUCAAAUCAUCCUACAAUCUUGACGCUCAUUGGUUAUCCAAUGUAAGUUCACUUUUCUUAAAAGAAGCCGACAGGGGUGGGGUAAAAACUGCCCCCACGGCCUUGUCCUAAGAAGGAACCUUAGUGAGAUUGGCCAAGGAUUGAGGAUUGUGCUAUAAGGGCCAGACCGUAACCAUAGGCUAUGUUUUGGGGAGGCAAAGCAAGGAUCAGUCUCUAUAUGAAGAGUGGUUACUGGAAUUGCAGCUUUUUAUUUUCGAACCAUGCUUGAGCUGGUACUGAUGAUAUUAAUUAUUUUGCUUUUCAGGGAGAUGAUUUCUGCUUGACAAAAGAGCCUAUGCACAGGAAUUAAGGCCUAUGCACAAGAUGACCUUUUUGAUGUCAUCACUCAUCACGAACUUCUUGCUACUCAUGUUCAAGGCUGGAUUGGCCAAGUUAGAGCUACCAAUGUAAGUGACCUGUAUUAUAUGUGACAUAAGCUAAUUUAGUAAUUUCACUGAUAGAUCACAUCCAUGUGAUGUGCAUGGUGUAGGGCAGUAUGCAUCUGAUGAACUUAAUAACUCCAAACAACUUUCUGUCUAAAAAAAAUCUUCAGAUAUAUAUAGUGACCAAAUGACAAAGGAGUAUGAUUUCUUUCAUAAACUGGCAGGCUUACAUCUUCGCAUAAGCUGCACCUUUACAGGCUUACACUAGACUGCUACUGUUACUUGAAC